CACGGAAAACGGCGUCCAGGGCAGAUCUGUACACACACAGAGAGGGAUGUCCAGGUUAGAAACGAUCCACUCAGCUGGGAUCGGCUACAGGUGUGACGGUGUGUCGGUGUGUCUGCGUUACAUGACUGACACUGUGCAGCCAAACUUCCCACUCUUCACUCUCAGUCCAGGCAUAUCCCCUCUGAGUCUGCAGGGUAGCUUUGACACGUUCAUGCUGUCCUAUUAUGAUUCCUUCAGUGUGAACCUGCAGCCCAUUGUGCACUUAUGGCCGGACAUUAAGCAGGACAUCUGGACCAGUGUCUGCCUCACUGUGGACACCAGUAAGAGUGUGGUUCAGAUGUUCAGUGGCGGGUAUAUGAGCCCCAGGAAGGUAAUGCCUUAUCAGGUGAGAAUGGCGACAAAGUUAGAAUCAGCAUGUUAAAAACUGUGUAGAUGUAGAGACAGAAAGACAAAUUUACUAAACAGAGCAAAGCAGUGUGCGAUUUUUACUUGAAAUGUCUCCAAUAAGCGGAAUAGACACCUUUCCGAGGAAGUUCAUUUUCCUCACUUGUAUCCAUGAUUUCAUUCUCUCACAGCUCAUGGUCACAAGGAAAAAUAGAUCCGCUGAUAAACUUCGAGCUUUGCCUUAAUAUUCAGCCAUCUCUUAAUCACAUUACAGUCUGUCUCUCAAGAAACAAGACCCUGAGAUAGCUGGACUCCACCAGCUGGAACAGUAACUCCUUUCCACCUUUUUUGUGCCUGAGACUUCAACAGAAGACAUAAUAAUGACAACACAGAAUCAUUUUUGUUUCGUUUUGUUUAUAUCUAAGUGAAGAAAAAAAAAUCAAAUGACUCCUUCAUUGUAAUCCAGAUUUCUAAAAGGCUUUAAAAAGUAGACAAUAUUAUUCUCAAAAUCACUUAAUCAUCUGUAAUUUUGAUCUUCUCUUUUUUCUGUGUGUUCAGUAUGUGUGGUCAGGCGAGCCUGUGAUUAGUUUCCCAGGCUUUGAUGGUCAGCUGACAGACGUCCAGGUGUGGGACUAUCCUCUGCGAUAUAGAGACAUCAUCUACUACAUGAGCAGAAGUUAUUACGGGUAAGAUCUCUAUGCUGAACUCACACACCGACCGUUUAAUCAUAACCACAGUAUAAAAGAAAAUAUUAAAGAUAUAAUUUUUUUUUUUUUUCAUUUAAAACAGGCCUUGACUUAAAUUUGUUUUUUAAUGUUUAAGUUUUGUUUUAAAGGCUUUUUAAAAGUGUGUUUUGGUUUGGUUUUAGGUCUUACAGCGGCUCCGUCAUCUCCUGGUCCAACAUCAGAUACAAUAACAGAGGAAGGGCAGUCUUGGAGGACACCUUUGACAUGCGAGCAAAAGUUGAGCAAGAGAGUAGACGAAAGGAAAAGAAGAUGAGAUUCUUCAGUGUGGAGGAGGAAAACAAGCUGCUGCUUUAAGUCAGUCCCCACAAACUCCUUUGUUAAAAUGUUAAGAUUUCAACCAGAAAUAAACAUGUUUGCAGCCUGCUGCCAAAUAAACAAACAAAAGCUGGUGUUGUCGCUAUAAAUAGUUUCCACCUAUCCCACUGUUGCACCAGGCUGAAAACAUGUUCAUCUGUCCUGUGAAGCUGAGAUGUCUUUUUCCCAUUGGCUAAAAAGUGGAUGGUGGUCCUUCCCCUUCUUCUUUUGUAUUAAUGUAUAUAUCAGAGUUCACUUCAUGCAGCCGAACAGCGUAAUCGGUAAUCGGUUAUCUUUGUUUCACCAGCCUUUUUUGUUGUUUUUUCGAUCAUAAUCACUUGAAGUCGCCAAAUGUCAGUGGAAGUUUUUACACAGAGGUCAGGGCUGAGUUUAAUUUUCCCAUUGACUUCUAAAGGACAGUCUUUUUGAAGCUACAGGAGUUGCCAUCUGGUGGCCAAUAUGAAAAAUGCAGUUUUAAUGCACUUCCAAAAGCACCGACUCUGUAAGCGUAUAAUCUCAUAUUUUACUUGGAAGUUUUACUUUUAAACUAUGAAACGUCUUAAGAAAAAACAACAAUACAUCUCAAAUUUAUAAAGGAAUUCUGCUGUAGUCAUAGAAACCUGUCAGCAAGACUCACUGGGCUUACACUGUAAAGGAAAUGAGGAAAUAAUUAACUUUAUGACUUAAAUAAACAGAAAUUAUCCGUAAAUUAAACAAAAUGCCAAUUUUACUGUGUAAGAAAAUGAAAAUGAUAUUGUAAAUUGUGGGGGGAAAAUCAACAGAAAAACAAACAUUUUCCUCUGUUUCAUCAUAAAUACUGUACUUUUUCAGAGCAUGGGCUGCAGUCUGAAGUGGAUUAAUCCUGCCUUUUUACAUCUGUAUUUAAUAUUCAGUAUGUUGAUGUGUAUGUUGGAUAUUCUGUUAUUCAACUGUGCUUUUAUAUUGCUGAUGUAAAUGUGAUUAGCACUGUUGUCCCUUACCAACUUACAAGAAAAAAAUCAAUACAAUCAACGUUUGCAGGCCUAUGUCACCUUACAAUGAUAGAGCCAAGUCCAACUUAAUUGUUUAUGUAUUUUAAAAUUUCACAAUCACCGUACAAAUAUGAGUGUACAGGAAAGGAGUGUCCCCUUAUCUGUAAAAUAUCUGGAAUUUAGGCCAGGUUAAACCAUUGAAAAGCUCAGUAUACUCCUAAUAUACACAGGUUAUGUAAGAUGGUGAAAUAUUGUUUUUUUUCCCAAAAAUUACCAAGAAAUUAUCAACUACUUAAAUUUACUUACAAUGUAAUUAUUUCUUCAUUCGCAUAGAAAACAUGAAUUUAUGCAUAACUUAAAAUCACUUACACAGUACUUCACAUGAUUUCCAGAAUAGUGUCUCCUUUCCUGUAAAACAUCUGAAGUUAUGUAAUUAUUAAAAUUACUUAUUUACUACCGAAAAUGACUUACACAUUACAUACUUGAGUACAUACUAAAUUAAGUACUUGUGCAGUACAUAAUUUACUUACAGUAUAACUAUUUCUAGUGUGCCUAGCUUUAAUUAUUUGUAGGUAAACUUAAUUCUAACUUUAAAUAACAUACAUGGAAAUUACAUUUAAUUAUGCUCUUAGUCACGGGUAUUAUAAUGUAUUACUAAAAAGUGCUUAUUUUAAGCAAAUUUCCCACUUGUGGGACUAAUAAAGGUUUAUCUUAUCUUAUUCCUAAACUUACCCACUAACUGUCUUGUGUUCCAGCCUAACCUCAGCCGACCUGUCUCACUGUUGGAUUUCUCUUUCUAACAUGGCCAUGUCUUAUUUAUUUUACAAGUAAGUAAAUAAGUAAAACUUUAUAAGUACGUCAUAGGAGCCAACAAUGCAUAAAAAAACAAAAUUAGAGAAAUUAAUAAAAAGCUGAUUUUAAAAGAUGUUUUUAACUGGCUUUUAAAUAAGACCUUACCAGAGGCAGGUGAAAACACUGAGCACAUAUGAACCAAUGCACUGUAAGACACUUUCGAACAAAAGUGUAGUUAAAAUGUCCAGAGAGCAAGAAAACGCUGUCAUUGUACCACUAAGCUUCGUUACUGCUGCAAAACUGCCUAAGAUAACAGGUCGAGCUGAUGUGACAACCGUCUGCAUAGAUGCUGAGGAAGAGAUAUUAUUUCUUACAUUUCUGACCUUAAAACAAAAAAUGAAAGAAAAUAAGAAAAGAAAUAAGAAAAUAUAUACAACAUAAAGAGUCUUUAGAUAGUGUGCAGAUAACAUCAGUCUACCCAGUGUCAUAAAAAGAUUUUCACAGUUCUGCCCUUUUACUUAUUCUGUGGCCAUAAGGUUUGAAAACAGCCUCUGGGAAUCUUAUAUCCUCUUUCCGAAAUGCUUCAGUAUCAGAGGAAACAAAACAAAAGCUCAAGAACAAAAUGUGGAACUAAAAAUCUGUUUUGGUUACCGUUCAAUCUGUUUUCAUGUUUCAUGUUAGGUGGGACUUGUGGUCCUCCUACAAAAACUGUGUGUCAGAAAGAAUCUGUUUACCAAUCUGUUUGCUGCAUUACUAUGUGUAAACUAUUUCACAGAUGUAAAUACACGCACUGAAAUAUAAUGAAAUGAGGCUCUCUAGCAUUCUGUACUGAGAAUUAUCGUUGCAGCAUCAACAUACGCGCACACAUGCAGGAUAAAACUUCACGUUUCCACACAUUCAAACCUUCCUGCUCCUGUUUGAAAUAUGUUGCUUACUUGCGAUGAUUUUACAUCUCAACAUUUGUUACUGAGUGACGGAAAUAAGAUUUCCUUAAGAUUAUUCAGAGAUCUAGCAUCAGCGCUUGUAGACUUUAAAAAACUGCAGCAAACAGAAAGCUGCCUCUCUCCACUUUGUUUUGCCAGGUCUCCUACACCUGAAUGCCAAACCCUGUGGAGUGAAAAUGCAGAUACUCAUGCAUCAACCCAGCACCUCAACCUACUGAGCAGAAUGUGAUAGCCAACUGUAUCAAAAGCUGAGGUAAGGGCCAACAUGAGCAGCACAGAACAGUAACACUUAUCACUCUGCAUCAAAAUGUCAUUUGAUACUCUCAGACCAAGCCAAACAAAAUAUCUGACUCCAGGGAGCCCCUCCUUUCUUAUUUUUUACUGGGCUAAUAUUUCAGCUCAUGCUACCCUAACAUGGCACCCUUUCUUAAAUAAAUGUGUCUUGACUAAUGUACUCAUAGUAAACUGGUAUAUUCAGUCAGAAAAGUGUCUGGAGCUCUGUGUGAAAGUUUGGGCAACAAGUUUAAGGAAGUGAAAGAUGAAAUUUACUGACACAGCAAGCUGUUAAUACGAGAUAAAGUUCAGCACUGGUUUGAGUAGAGGAAGUAAAACCUCACAUACAGAUUUAAUGAAAGCUAAACUAACUUAAGAACUAGAAUUUCCAUAUAGUAUUGGUUCUUGUGUCAGUUUUACCUCUUGUUAAAUGAUGUGGAAAAGCUGUUGUGGUGAGCAGAGCUACUCAAUCUUUUAUUGUUAUUUUAGUCUAAAUAGACUGGAAUCAGCCUUUAUGGACUGUAUUCAUACUGCACAGCAGUCAUGACCUCUGUGUUGAACUUGCAGCCAGGUUGAGGUGUGUUUGCGGUUCAGGACAGCACAAUGAGACAUCACAUGGUCCUCUUCAUGAUAGAUUCCUCCAUGUAGACAGUUACAGCUCAGUGAACUGAACCGGAUUACUGACACAUUAUCAAUUAUUCAAAUAUUCUAAAAACAGGUCCAUUGCUUUUGUGUUGAUGUUUUUUUUAAAGUAUUUGAGCAGUGAGUUUCUGUCACACUGUGCUGUGUGGAUUGUUGAUUAACUUUAGCAGAGCCAAAUAUAGGAUGCAGGAGAGGCACGAAACUCAAAGGAAGCUUUCAAAGCUGAUAGUCCAGGAAGCAAACAAAGUCCAAAAUGCCCAAAACACACAGGAAUAAUGUCAGAGUCCAAACACCAGAAGUCAGAAGGGAUGCAAAUACAGGACGCACAGAGCAAGGAAACACACAGCUGCAAGAACAUCACGACAAAGGACAAAGGAAGACUGAGAAAAUAUAUACAAGAAAAAGACAGUUAACAUAAGAAUAAUAAUAAGAAGAAGAAGAAGACGUUUAUUUAUGUAGCGGUUUUUAAAACACACAGUUAUAAAGUGCUUCACAGUUUGGAUAAAAAACACAUUACAUUAAGUUUUACAUGUUAUCCAUGCAAACUCAGAGACGUAGGCACUGUCUAAACCAGGGGUCGGCAACCCUGGGCACGCGUGCCACAGCUGGCACGCGAAGGGUUAACUGAUGGCACUGAUGCGCCACUGAUGCAGUCUAUCUGGGUCAGAUAUAAACCAAGUUUAGGUGUAGUUUAUUUUCAUUGUGCUGACUUUUUACAGUCAGUUACAAUAAGCGGAAUCGUCCGGUAACGGAGUUUGUCCCGGACUUCAGCUAGAAUGGAAAAAGACACAAAGCUGGAGUUAUUCUGUGUCUUUACGCUGUCAGCUGCCUCUUCAUCUCUCAUUCUCUCCCCUCCCUCUCCUGUUGCUACUUAAAUCAUGAAACUCAUCAGUGAUCAGCUGAUCGGUAUUUCUGACGCAAGUCCGUCUCUCUUGUUUGUUUAUCGCCCACUUUGCGCCAGAAAGAGGAAACCUGCGGAUGUCGCGCUAAACAACAGCAGCACGUUUAAGCUUGAUCAGCUGUUGUUAGAAUUUAUUUAAUAUUAAUUUCUAGUAUCAGCUGAUGUUUGCUGGAGCCACAGCUGUAAAAGCUGCUGGUCAUGAUAUCGGUUUGGAUAUGUGGUGAGAGGGAAACAUGCAGAUGAAACCAGGAGAUGUCCUUACUGAAUCAUCAGAGCUGAACUGGUGAUGGAGAAACAGGUUUACCUUUUAGGUGACAUGGAUAAGUUGAAGGGAAGUCAUGAGCUGUUUCUGAGAGACAAAUAACACCAGGAUCCUUUUCUACGUAGCUGACAGCUGGUAACUGUGCAGGGGCGGGUCUAGCAAAGUUUUGCCAGGGGGCCAUGUAGGGCAUUAACAGGUAAAAGGGAGCACAAAGAAAUACUUUUCUUUCUUAUUCUCAUUUAAAAUGUCUAACUUUUAUUAAAUAAUUGUCCGAAUCUUACAACCAAAGUUUUUAUCUGAUGAAAAAUGUAUAGAAAUCAUCUGCUUCAGGAGCUGUCCGCUCAGCGCAGCAUCAGCACCGCAGAAA
ensembl:lncRNA